rnacentral:tRNA from 4 species
CGGGUACUAGCUCAACUUGGUGGAGCGCCGGCUUCGGGAGCCGGAGGAGGGGAGUUCGAAUCGCCCGUACCCGA